UACGGGGGGGUAAGCGUUGUUCGGAAUUACUGGGCGUGAAGGGCUCGUAGGCGGCCAACUAAGUCAUACGUGAAAUCCCUCAGCUUAACUGGGGAACUGCGUGUGAUACUGGAUGGCUUGGAUUUGGGAGAGGGAUGCGGAAUUCCAGGUGUAGCGGUGAAAUGCGUAGAUAUCUGGAGGAACACCGGUGGCGAAGGCGGCAUCCUGGACCAAUAUUGACGCUGAGGAGCGAAAGCCAGGGGAGCAAACGGG
rnacentral:rRNA from 1 species